AAACGAAGCGGUCCAAUGGCGAAACCGAAAGGAGCGGGCCGAUUCGAUGAGGCCGGUUCGGGUUCUGGGCCCCCCGGGCCAUCUUUUUCGAGCCCUCCUUCUCAGCUUCCAUCCCAUUCAAACGACUGCGGGUUCAGCUGCGGAGCGUCUUCUCGGAGGUCGAAGCCUUUUCGAGAGCGAAUCCAUGGCGGCUUCCAUCUCCACCUCCGGCUACCACGCUCUCUUCCUUCCCCUCCCUCGCCUCUCCGCUUCGAAACCGUCCAGAACCAUGGAUUCCUCCGGCUCCCUCUCCACGGUCCGGGGCGGUUCGACCCUCGCCGGAGCGCGCGCGCGCGCAGGGUUCCCGUUCCCCCAGUCGCGCCGCCCGAUUCGAGCGAGCGUGAGCAGGCAGCGUCGCGGACCGUCUCUCGCUUCUUCCCGUGGCGCCACCGAGUCGUUCGAAGCCAAAUGCUGGCCGAUCCUGUCAGAUGCCAGAACUUCUUUCUUGCUGCUAUGGCUGAUGAUACAACUGUUGUGCCGGAAAGAUCAACAUUACAUGACAUGCCUGAAUCUGAAGAUAGUGACAAUAACCCCGCAGCCACUGAUGGAAAUGAAAAGGAUAAUAGUAGUGAUCUGAGCUUGGAUGACAAUAAAAUGCUUCGUGUAUGUGACAAGCUGAUAGAGGUUUUCUUGGUUGAUAAGCCCACUCCUACUGACUGGAGAAGAUUAUUAGCUUUUAGUAAGGAAUGGAGCGAUAUCCGUCCUCAUUUCUUCAGACGUUGUCAAGAGCGAGCCGACAACGAAGACAAUCCAGGGAUGAAACAUAAGCUGCUUCGGCUUGGUCGGAAGCUCAAAGAGGUAGAUGAAGACGUGCAAAGACAUGAUGAGCUUCUUGAAGUGAUAAGAACUGCUCCAUCAGAGAUAAAUGAGGUUGUUGCGAGACGCCGGAAAGAUUUUACUAAAGAAUUUUUCGUACAUGUUCACACUGUAGCUGAAUCCUACUAUGACAACCCAUCUGAGCAAAAUGCUGUUGCGAAGCUUGGGAACAUGUGUUUGGCUGCAGUACAAGCUUACGAUACUGCAACUGAAAGCAUUGAAGCACUCAAUACAGCAGAGUUGAAGUUUCAAGAUAUUAUCAACUCUCCCUCUUUAGAUGCUGCUUGUAAAAAAAUAGACAAUCUAGCAGCAAAAAAUGAACUCGAUUCAGCAUUGGUGUUGAUGAUUACAAAAGCAUGGUCAGCAGCCAAGGAAUCGAACAUGAUGAAGGAUGAGGUCAAGGAUAUACUGUAUCAUUUGUACGUGAGUGCAAGAGGCAACCUUCAAAGGCUGAUGCCAAAAGAGAUAAGGAUAUUGAAGUACCUUCUCACCAUUGAGGAUCCCGAGCAGAAAGCUUCUGCCUUGAAAGACGCAUUUACCCCCGGAGAAGAACUUGAAGGGAAUGAUAUAGACUGCCUCUACACGACUCCAGAGAAGCUUCACACGUGGAUAAGGACAGUGAUAGAUGCAUACCAUUUCAGUCGGGAAGGUACUCUUAUCAAGGAAGCUAGGGAUUUGAUGAACCCGAAAAUCAUUGAGAAGUUAAAGGAACUGAAGAAGCUAGUCGAAGACCAAUACAUGUGAAUCUCAAGGAUGAGUCUCUUAUUGCAGAUGCUGAUCCAGCAGUGGUCAUAUUGAACCAAGAUGCUGCUGCCCUUGAAGCAAUGGAGGCUCUUCUUUGAUUAACUUUCUGGGGGAUUUGAAGUGGGCUAAGAUGAAGCAAUAUGCAGUCAACAUAAUCGGGUUCUGAGAUGCACAGAAAACGUGCUUUUCGAUUUUGCAGGUUAUGUUUUAUUUAAAUGAAUUGGAACAGGCGGAACUCUCAGUUGGACCAUUGUUCAGCAGCUUCAUUAGCUUGUCAUAUACCCGAAGCGUAUCUAAUGUCCUGCGGCAUCACGGUCGGCCUUGUGGUCGUGAUUCGUGAGAGUUCAUCAUGGUAGCUGCUCUUUCAUCUAAACUUCAUCUUCCUAAUCUCUCGCGUUCCAUGUAUUGAAAGAGAAAUAUGCAGGAAUUAGUUUCUUUCCGAACCCUUCAUUGCAAAAUAUAUAUGAUGAAGUAAUGAUUUGUUCA